GAGAAAUUGUUGGAUUUCAAGGAAUCAAGCAAGUAAAGGUGCUGAACCCCCCCAAUAAGGGCAAAGAUAUCGUGCCCGAGGAUUGAGAAUAGGAGUACUCCAAACUCCUAUUAUUGCUCAGGACAGUUUGUAGACCGCUGAUUAUGUCGAGGGUUUGCUUUUGGAUUUGCACCCUUAGAAAUUGUAGGUCUAUAGUCUUGUUUAUUUUGUUAUUUUGGGAGCCCACAUGUCAUUGUAGAAUAUUUUGUAUACCUGGCUGCGUG